GAUGAACGCUGGCGGUCUGCUUAACACAUGCAAGUCGAACGAACUCUUCGGUAGUGAGUGGCGGACGGGUGGAGUAACGCGUGAGAAUCUGCCUGUGGGUCGGGGACGAACCACUGGAAACGGUAGGCUAAUACCGGAUGAGCCGAAAGGUAAAAGAAUUUAUUGCCCACCAGAUGAGCUCGCGUCUGAUUAGCUAGUUGGUAAGGUAAAAGACGUACCAAGGCGACGAUCAGUAGCUGGUCUGAGAGGAUGAGCAGCCACACUGGGACUGAGACACGGCCCAGACUCCUACGGGAGGCAGCAGUGGGGAAUUUUUCCGCAAUGGGCGAAAGCCUGACGGAGCAAGACCGCGUGGGGGAGGAAGUUUUUGGAUCGUAAACCCUUUUGUCAAGG
rnacentral:rRNA from 1 species